AGUAGUUUGAUCCUGGCUCAGGACGAACGCUGGCGGCGUGCUUAACACAUGCAAGUCGAACGGAAAGGCUCCUUGCUUGCAAGGGGUACUCGAGUGGCGAACGGGUGAGUAACACGUGGGUGAUCUGCCUUGCACUUCGGGAUAAGCCUGGGAAACUGGGUCUAAUACCGGAUAGGACCAUGCUUUAGUGUGUGUGGUGGAAAGUUUUUUCGGUGCAAGAUGAGCCCGCGGCCUAUCAGCUUGUUGGUGGGGUAAUGGCCUACCAAGGCGACGACGGGUAGCCGGCCUGAGAGGGUGUACGGCCACAUUGGGACUGAGACACGGCCCAGACUCCUACGGGAGGCAGCAGUGGGGAAUAUUGCACAAUGGGCGCAAGCCUGAUGCAGCGACGCCGCGUGGGGGAUGACGGCCUUCGGGUUGUAAACUCCUUUCGCUAGGGAAGAAGCCACUUGUGGUGACGGUACCUGGAUAAGAAGCACCGGCUAACUACGUG
rnacentral:rRNA from 1 species